rnacentral:rRNA from 1 species
CCUACGGGAGGCAGCAGUAAGGAAUAUUGGACAAUGGGCGCAAGCCUGAUCCAGCCAUUCCGCGUGCAGGAUGACGGCCCUCUGGGUUGUAAACUGCUUUUAUUUGGGAAGAAACCCUGGGAUUUAUCCCGGGCUGACGGUACCAAAAGAAUAUGCACCGGCUAAUUCCGUGCCAGCAGCCGCGGUAAUACGGAAGGUGCAAGCGUUAUCCGGAAUCACUGGGUUUAAAGGGUGCGUAGGCGGUUACGUCAGUCAGAAGUGAAAGCUCACAGCUUAACUGUGGAAUUGCUUUUGAUACUGCGUAACUAGAAUCAGGUUGAGGUUGGCGGAAUGUGACAUGUAGCGGUGAAAUGCAUAGAUAUGUCAUAGAACACCAAUUGCGAAGGCAGCUGACUAGACCUGCAUUGACGCUGAGGCACGAAAGCGUGGGGAGCGAACAGGAUUAGAUACCCUGGUAGUCCACGCCCUAAACGAUGCUUACUCGAUGUGUGAAUUAUUGCGCAUCCAAGGGAAACCGUUAAGUAAGCCACCUGGGGAGUACGUUCGCAAGAAUGAAACUCAAAGGAAUUGACGG